UACGUAGGUGGCAAGCGUUGUCCGGAUUUACUGGGCGUAAAGAGCGCGCAGGCGGUUGUUUUAAGUCGAAUGUGAAAGCCCCCGGCUCAACUGGGGAGGGUCAUUUCGAUACUGAUCGACUUGAAGGCAGGAGAGGGAAGUGGAAUUCCGGGUGUAGUGGUGAAAUGCGUAGAUAUCAGGAAGAACACCAAUGGCGAAGGCAGCACUCUGGGACGGUACUGACGCUGAGACGCGAAAAGCCGUGGGGAGCAAACAGG
rnacentral:rRNA from 1 species